UCGAGUCUAUGCGCCGGGUCCACUUGAAGAGUGUUUGGAAUCCUUCACCUCGCUUCUCCCUCCUGAGUCAUCUCCCACCCAUUAAAAUGCAGAGCGGCAGAGCUUGGUCUCCUCCUGGACAAAAUCAGCUCCCGAAAUCCAAAAUUGAAACAGGUGGUUUUGAGCUUGGGGCUUGCUCGGAGGACCGAUUUUGGAGCCGGCGAAGGGAUGUCAGGACCCCUCGAUCGAUUUGCUAGGCCAUGUUUUGAAGGGCUUGUACAUAACGAUGAAAGGAAAGAGAGCAGAUCUGAUGCAGACAACUCAGAAGGAGAUAAGAAGACAAAAAUUGGCUCUUUCAAGAAAAAAGCAAUUAAUGCAGGGAAUAAAUUCAGGCAUUCCUUGAGAAGGAGAAGCAAAAAGAAAAAUGAACCUAGGGAUUCCAUCAAGGACAUAAGGGAUAUUAAAGAGCUCCAAGAUGUCGAGACAUUUCGACAAUGCUUAAUUGAUGAGGAUUUACUGCCACAACAGCAUGAUGAUUAUCACAUGAUGUUGAGGUUCCUAAAAGCGCGGAAAUUUGAUGUUGAGAAAGCAAAGAAUAUGUGGUCAGACAUGCUUAGAUGGAGGAAGGAAUUCGGGACCGACAAAAUAGAGGAAUUUGACUACACCGAGUUAGAUGAAGUUACAAAGUAUUACCCACAAUUUUAUCAUGGGGUGGAUAAAGAGGGUAGACCUAUCUACAUAGAGUUAAUAGGAAAAGUUGAUGCAAACAAGCUAGUUCAAGUAACAACCAUCGAUCGGUAUGUGAGAUACCAUGUCAAGGAGUUUGAGAGAUGUUUCCAGAUGAGAUUUCCAGCUUGCUCAAUUGCUGCAAAAAAACACAUAGACUCAUCUACGACUAUUUUGGAUGUGCAAGGAGUGGGUUUCAAGAACUUCUCAAAAUCUGCGAGGGAAUUAGUCGCACGACUGCAGAAGAUCGAUGGUGAUAACUACCCAGAGACAUUGUGCCGAAUGUAUAUAAUUAAUGCUGGCCAAGGCUUCAAGAUGUUAUGGAACACAAUAAAAUCGUUCCUUGAUCCAAAAACUGCUUCCAAGAUCCAUGUUCUCGGGAAUAAGUACCAACAUAAGUUGCUUGAAAUUAUUGAUGAGUGUGAAUUGCCGGAAUUUCUUGGUGGUAAAUGCAAGUGUGAUGAAUAUGGAGGUUGUCAAAAAUCUGACAAAGGUCCCUGGAAGGAUCCCGAAAUAAUAAAGAGAGUUCUCAAUGGCGAGGCAAACUACGGAAGGCAAAUUGUGACUAUAUCCAGCACUGAUGGAAAGAUAAUUAGUUAUGCUAGGCCAGAGUACCCAGCCAGAAAAGGCAGUGAUGCAUCUGCUGAGUCUGGGUCUGAAGUGGAAGACGUAACAUCUCCUACUGCAUCAAGGAAUCUGAUCACACACCCUAUUUUGACCCCUGUUCACGAGGAGGCUUUUAACCAGCAUGCUUUCCAUUCCAAGAAAAAAAAAACGCGGCCGGGGGGUGGGGGGGUGAACGGACCCCACCAUUUUUCAUUAAGAGGAAGCAACACGGCUUCACCCGGCCGCGGAAAACCCCCCCGAACCCUGGCCCAUGCCCAAGAGGGCCAAGCCUUGCGGCGAGCACAGCGAGGGGGAUUUUUUUUUGCCCACGAGAAAGUUCGUCCCGGCUGGGAAUCGAACCAGCGACCUCGAGUGGGAGUGCCAUCGGGCUGGGCUAGCCAGUUGGCCGCCCAACCUUAGGCUGCUUUCCAUUCCAAGCAUUUAAAAUUGCCAGCACAUGCUUUGGCAUCUGUUGCUCAUGCUUCAAUUGAAAGCAUUCCUGUUGUGGACAAGGUUGUUGAUGAUGGAUGGGGUAGUCCCAGAGCUAGUCUACACGUUUCUUCCUCAGGUUCAUUUUCCUUGAGAAAUUUGCCUGGCACAUUUGAAGGACUCCGAGCUCAAAUAAUCACGUGGCUGACGGUCUUGGUCAUGACCCUUUUUGCCAUGCUCUGUUCUGUUCCAAGCAAGAUGGCUAGAAGAAUCUCUAACCAAUCUGUUAAGCAUGACGACUAUCAUGUUGAGUAUCCUCAAGAACAGGAGUACAAGGAGGAGUUCCGACCUCCGUCUCCUGCCCCAUCCUAUACCGAGAAGGAUGUGCUUUCAUCUAUGCUGAGACGGCUAGGUGAGCUUGAGGACAAGGUGCAGAUACUGGAGACAAAGCCGUCUGAGAUGCCAUUUGAAAAGGAAGAAUUGCUCAAUGCAGCCGUCCACCGUGUGGAUGCAUUGGAGGCUGAGUUAAUUUCCACAAAGAAGGCCCUCUAUGAUGCCUUGAUGCGACAGGACGAGCUGCUCGCGUACAUUGACAAGCAAGAGCUGAUCAAAUUUCGUAAGAAGAAGUUCUGCUUCUAAGAGCUGGGCGCGGAGCAGCUAGCUGUUCUUCACACGCAGAGCCGUUCGUGUAUAUUGGAUUGCGGCUAAUGUGUUGUAUGUAUGUAUCAAUGUAUGUAUAUUUUGUUGGUCCAUAGAAGUUUCAAGUGUGUAGUUGGUAGUAAAAGAUAGGCGUGCCGUUGGGUGCCUGGGUAUCUGAUGUUUCGGGCUCUUCAUGUCUGUUACACAUUCGACGAGCUAGGACCCGAAAGGCCAAGGUGUUUUGUACUGUAUGCUCUACCCUGUGAAGAGGUACCUAGCACUUGCUAGCCUAAGCUCUGUAACCAUGGUUGCAUGUCGACGCAAAGCCGAUCGCGUGCUGACAAUAAUGAAUACACUGUUUGUGUGCUGCU